rnacentral:rRNA from 13 species
CAGACCGCCAGCUAAGGCCCCAAAAUUAUAGUUAAGUGGGAAACGAUGUGGGAAGGCUCAGACAGCUAGGAGGUUGGCUUAGAAGCAGCCAUCCUUUAAAGAAAGCGUAAUAGCUCACUAGUCGAGUCGGCCUGCGCGGAAGAUGUAACGGGGCUCAAACUGGUCACCGAAGCUGCGGCUGCAUACUUUGUAUGCGGGGUAGGGGAGCGUU